UUGUUUAUCCAGUAUUUAUCGUCGUUUUCAGUAGGAAUAUUGUUAGUUUUAUGUGGUUCCUUGGCAAUUAUGCGUAUUAGUGGAGGGAGCUAUAUGUACCAGUAGAUUACAACAAGUUUGUCUUAAGAAAAUACUCAUCAACAGUGAUGAUGAAUGAGCUAAAGUCUGGAGAUAUAUUGGAGAAGAGAGAGAGAGGGAGAGAGGAGAGAGGGAGAGAGGAGAGAGGGGAGAGAGAGAAGGAGAGAGGGGGAGAGAGAGAGAGGGAGAGAAUUUGACUGGUGUCAAGGCGGAGCUGCACCAUGUAACAGUGCUGCGUCAAUAAUCCCAAGACAUAGAAAAACAUAAAGCAGUGAGGUGGGAUUUAUCAAACAUCACAAUUUGAGAAAUCAACUCGGCGGUCCAUGAAACUUCAUCAACAAUAGAGGAUUAUAGUCCUACUGAUGAUGGUCGUGUUUUAAGUACCACCAGGGAUUUACACAACAAAACAAUCUGGGAUGCGUAAAAAAUAUGUAAAACGAGAAAACCACAGAAGCUGAACACGACGGUGAUUUGAUAGAAAUGAUAUUAAGAUAUGGUAUAUUGAUGAGAAAAAGAGCCUGUGUCUCUUGCUUCAUUAACUUGUAAAUUUUGUGGAAACAGACCUGUUAGUGUUAAAGAUUAUCGUUAGGAUAAAUAUGUUAACAAUAUCUACAGACCUAAAUAUAAUUUAUUUUCUGGUUGAUAGAUUUUUGAUUAUUACCACCAAUUUUAAUGGGAGGGAGGGAGGAAGCGAGAAACCCAACAAGGUUGGACAGGCUCACAACAAGCAGGGAAUCCAAACAACCCCAUUAGAGAGAGAGAG